rnacentral:rRNA from 1 species
UACGUAGGGUGCAAGCGUUGUCCGGAAUUAUUGGGCGUAAAGAGCUCGUAGGCGGUCUGUCGCGUCGGCUGUGAAAACCCGGAGCUCAACUCCGGGCCUGCAGUCGAUACGGGCAGACUGGAGUUCGGCAGGGGAGACUGGAAUUCCUGGUGUAGCGGUGAAAUGCGCAGAUAUCAGGAGGAACACCAGUGGUGCAAACGGCGCCCUGGGUCCGAACUGACGCUGAAGCACGAAAGCGUGGGGAGCGAACGGG